rnacentral:rRNA from 1 species
AUUGAACGCUGGCGGCAUGCCUUACACAUGCAAGUCGAACGGCAGCACGGGAGCAAUCCUGGUGGCGAGUGGCGAACGGGUGAGUAAAGUAUCGGAACGUGCCCAGUCGUGGGGGAUAACGUAGCGAAAGUUACGCUAAUACCGCAUACGAUCCAUGGCUGAAAGCGGGGGAUCGCGAGACCUCGCCCGAUUGGAGCGGCCGAUACCAGAUUCGGGAGUUGGUGGGGUAAAGGCUCACCAAGUCGACGAUCUGUAGCUGGUCUGAGAGGACGACCAGCCACACUGGGACUGAGACACGGCCCAGACUCCUACGGGAGGCAGCAGUGGGGAAUUUUGGACAAUGGGCGAAAGCCUGAUCCAGCCAUGCCGCGUGCAGGAUGAAGGCCUUCGGGUUGUAAACUGCUUUUGUACGGAACGAAAAGGUUUGGCCUAAUAAGCUGAGCUCAUGACGGUACCGUAAGAAUAAGCACCGGCUAACUACGUGCCAGCCGCCGCCGUAA